CCUACGGGAGGCAGCAGUGGGGAAUAUUGCGCAAUGGGCGAAAGCCUGACGCAGCGACGCCGCGUGAGGGAUGAAGGUCUUCGGAUCGUAAACCUCUGUCAGCAGGGAAGAACGGUCACUGUGCUAAUCAGCAGUGAAUUGACGGUACCUGCAAAGGAAGCACCGGCUAACUCCGUGCCAGCAGCUGCGGUAAUACGGAGGGUGCGAGCGUUAAUCGGAAGUACUGGGCGUAAAGAGCUCGUAGGCGGUAUGUCAAGUCAAGGGUGAAAUCCCCGCGCUCAACGUGGGAACUGCCUUUGAAACUGGCGAACUUGAGUGUGUGAGAGGAUAGUGGAAGUCCAGGUGUAGGAGUGAAAUCCGUAGAUAUCUGGAAGAACAUCAGUGGCGAAGGCGACUAUCUGGCACAUAACUGACGCUGAGGAGCGAAAGCGUGGGUAGCAAACAGGAUUAGAUACCCUUGUAGUC
rnacentral:rRNA from 1 species